UGAGAUUGCUCAUCCUAUGUUGCUCCGAGUCUUCUUUCCUUUAAGUUCCUAUGUCUGACAUUUGUGUUGAACACAUUUUUGAUCAUGAGUGUAGGGAUAUGAUCAUCAAAAUAUGUGUAAAACUAAGAAAAAAAUGGAACCAUGGCAUAUGCAUUAUUAUAUCCGAGACACACACCUGAGUUGUUAUCAUAUGAAAUUUUCCAAUCGUUAUCAUCUUGUGUUCUCGAGCUGAGUAAAGAUGCUCGCAAUCUGGUUUAGUAGGGUGCUAUAUGUUGGCAUAUCUGCAAAAUAAGUUUGAGUUUCAGGUAAGGAACUCUGUAGAAUGAGAUAAUUUAUUUUACAAAACUUAGGUCUUUAAAAUUGUACUAAUUUUCAAUUGAUUCGACCAGGUUCAAUUCAAACAACUUUGAUUUGAGAUAGAAUUUGUAAAAACUUCAAUAUUAUUAUUAGGGUUUGUCUUUGAUACGUGAUAUAGCAUUUGGUUUGAAAGAAUUUUUUAAGUUUUCAUUUUCUAUUUUUGGAGAAUUGAAAAAUAUAUUUAAUAAAUAAAAAUAGAUUUUUUUCAAUAAUGAAAAUAGUGAAAAAUGUUUAUUUUUCAAAAUAAAAAUGAAAACAAUUAAAUAAUUAAAUUAAAAUAUAAUUUAUUAAAAAUAUAUUACAAUAGUAAAAUAAAAUGCAACAAGAUAAGAAAAGGUUUAAAGGUAAUGUUUCUAAAGAAUUUGAACUAGGGUAAAUUUAAUGCAUAAAAUGAAAAUUAAAAAAUCUCUUAUUUCCAUUUUUUUUUCUUUUUUCAAAACAUUUUUAUUGAAAAUAAUGAAAACAUGUUUCUUAUUAUUCUCUAAUUUUCAUAUAUUUUUAAUUUUCAAAAACUAUUUUUUAAAAUUUUAACCAAAUAUAUUUUCUUUACUAUUUUUCUUUUUCUAGAAAAAUAAAAAUAACCUUUAUUUCCUGAAGCUAAAUGCACUAACUUUUUUUUGUAAAAAAAAAUAAAUAAAUGCACUAAAUUUUUUCAAUUUUGGUUUAUGUGAAAUGUGAUAUUUUAAUAUUGUAUAAUUUCAUCACUUAAAUUUUUCUUAAAAAUGUAACUAUUAAGUGAUGAUGUGACACAAUAUCAUUAUAUGGACUAGAAUUGAGAAAAAAUUGUCAAGUUCUAUUAUUAAUGUGGAUAAAUACAAUUUCAAAGAUUAAGUUGGAUAAAGUUAUUAAGUUUAGAGAUUAAAUCUUAUUUUAUCUUGUAAUUAUGCUAAUAAUUAUUAUGAGUUAAAUGAUAUUAUCUCAAUUACAAAAAAUACAAUAAAAAUAAGAAAAAUUCCUUAAAUUAUAGUAAUAAAAUCAGACUACUUAUGUAGUUUUAGUUUUUUGUUUUGAAAAUUUACCCUUUUUAACAUAUUGCCUAUUUUUCUAAUAACUUCCUAAAUUUUUAAAGAUAACUAUAUAUAUAUAUACCUUUUCAAGAAAAUUUAGUGGAUGUAAUUACAGCUUCCCCUUUUUAAACAAAAUUAUCUGCUUAAAAUCACUAUUUUUUUUUCAAAAAUGUAUAUUUUGAAAAAAUUAUUAUUUUCAAAAAUACUAUUUUAUUACUGAUAGAGUGAACGUCAUGAAUUCUGGUUUAUAUAUUGUGCAUGGAUUGAAAUAUAUAAUUUUUAAUACUAGUGGCCUCAAUUUAAAACACGUGGACAGGGUGGUGGCCCAAAGCACGAUCCCAAAAUUGAUGGAUGAAAAUCGUUUGAAGGCUCAUUGUUUCUUUUUAGUUUUACCUCCCCACCUUUGAAUCUCAUUAAUUAAGUGAACCUUGUUAAGAAAACAAUAUCUAUGGUGACUCAUGUACAUGGGUCAAUUGUCAUACAGGUCAAACGAUUUUAAGAACACGACAUAUGACCUGUCAGUCACGUCCAAACACACAUGUAAGAGGUGCACUAUAACUAAAGCUUCCAAGCCUUCGUAUGUAGGCACUUGCCAAUGGAUAUAUAAGACCAUAAAUAAAAUUAGAUUGACAAUGACUGCGAGAUUUCUAUAUGGUAUUACGACAAUAUUUUUCAACAAAAUUCAACACUUUCUGAAACCUCUUAAUGUGUGAAUGGUCAUAAUCCUCCUAUCACUCAUAUUGUAUAAAAUAUUAAAAUAAAUUUAUUUUAAAAAUUAAGAUUGUAUUAUUAAUUUUUCAUUUGAAAGGUCAAUAUCUUUUAUUAUUUAGUUGAACUUUUCCCCGUUCACAUAUUUUUCAGUCUUUUUACUUGCCACCUUUAAUGGAUAAUAAUCCAAUUAUCCAAAAGAAAGGAAAGAUAAUCCAAAAUAGAAAAAAGGAUUUUUGGAUGAUAGUCUAAUGGUAUUCCACAAAACUUUAAAUGUAAGAUGCAUAAGAAUGCCAAUUUUUUAAUUUAAUUUCUAAAUUUAAAUUCCAUAAAAAACGUGAUAGUAUAAUCCUUUGAAAUUAUAUCAUAUCACCACUAAAAUAUUUAAAAAUAUAAAAUCCAAACAAAAACAAAACUUAUAGAAUAUAUAAGAAAUGGUAAUUAAAAAAAAAACAUUAGCUAAGAUGAUCUAAUCUUAAAGUGUCAAAUCAUCACAAAUUAGGGUCUGUUUGAUUGCCAGUAAAAUAUUUUCCGUAAAAUGAUUUCUGGAAAAUGUUUUACUUUUCUGUAAAAUGAUUUACUGGAAAAUAUUUUCUGGGUUUGAUUGAAUCUGUGUAAAAUAUUUUCUGUUGCUUGGCAGAUUUUUUGAAAAUAUUUUUAUAUUUUAAAUUAUUUUUACAUAGAUUUAUUUAUAAUAAUACUCAAUUAUAAAGCUACAGUAUUAAUCGUUAUAAAUUGAAAAAAACUAAUAUCAACUAAAUUAUUUGUAAUUGUGUUAAAAAAACAAGUAUUGAAUAAUUAAAAAAACAAGUUACUGGAAAAUCGAUAAACAGAAGCAGUUUUUUACCGGAAAUGAAGGAAGGAAUGAAGGAGGCGAUAGAGAGGAGAGCACGGAAAAUGUCUUACGGAAAUUGAAAGGGUAAGACAUUUUCCCUAAAAUGUAACCCAUUUUCGCUUGUUUUGGAGUUCAUUUUCCAAAUGGAAAAUGUUUUCCGCCAAUCAAACGCUGGAAAAGUUGGAAAUGAUUUUCCGGAAAAUCAAUUCCGUCAAUCAAACAGACCCUUAAUGGAAUUAAAAAUGUAUGGACCAAAUAGAGAAAAUUACCAAAUUUCAAAAAUAAUAUGAACCAAAAAAAAAUUUAAAGAUCAAAUUGAAAAAAAUACCAAAUUUAUGUACUAAAUGUUACUUUUUUUUACUAUAUAGAAUACUGCUAACUUCAAUAUGCUGAUUGCUCCAACCACGAGUAUUAUGGACCCUGCUACUUAAUGAUCAUUGUAUCAUCCACAUCUUCAUCAAGCGCGUUGAUGAUUGUUUUUUAUAAAAAGCCACCAUAAAAAAAUUAGUGAACAAAUCAUGGUGACAGCAGCUUAGCACUCACGGAUUUAUUACCCACCGUAAUUAAACAACACACAUUCGCCUUGACAUGCUAACACGUGUUUGCCCGAAAAUAUGAACAAAUUGUCUAACUGAUUUAUUUUAAAUUCAUAAUUGUUGAAAAAGUCUAAAACGAUUUGGUUCAUUCAAAAUAAAAAUUUGUUUUAAAAUUUAAUGGAUCUUUCUGUUCGGAAUCUUUUCCAAAAAAAGUAAAUACAUCGAUGUGCCAACAAACUUUAAUUUUUUAAUUGUUCUUUAAACACGUUAUCAUAUAAUUAAAUAAAUAUUUUUACAGUAUGCUACCCUAGCACGUUUGUGUCUGCCGCCUCUGGCAAGAUUUUAGGUUUUUUGUUCUUCUGUCUUUCUUUUUGGCUUACGGCGUUGUGUCCUUGAAAAUUAUUGAGAAUGAAUUAGCCCAAUUAUCGAUCAACGAAGAGGAAGAUGUUAUUAAAAUUCAAGAAAAUCCAGGUACGAAAAGAAGUGAGGAGUUUUUUCAAUUAGUGGGGUGUUUUCUUACAGCGAGUAUAAUUCACUUUCCAGCUAUGAAAAGUACUAUGGCAAAUCUAUGGCAUCCUAUUCGAGGAGUUUGCAUUCGGGAUCUGGGGGAAAAAAGGUUUUUGUUCCAAUUUUUUUCAUUUUAUGGAUAUGGAGAGGGUUUUGAAAGGCUCCCCAUGGACCUUCAAUAAUCAUCUAUUGAUACUUUAUAGACUGCGAUGGAGGGAGGAUUCGUUGCAGGUCUCUUUAGUGCUAACCCUUUUCUGGGUUCAGAUACACGAAGUGCCUAUUGGUUUGUUUUCUGAAAAUUUAGCAGUGAAUCUAGGGAAUUUUUUGGGGUAUUUUAUGGAAUAUGAUGUGUCAAAUUUAGGGAAAGAAAAUAGAAACUUUAUGAGGGUUAGGGUCCAAGUUGAUAUAAGACGUCCUUUGAAAAGAAAGAAGUUAAUCGGAUUUUGUGGAAGACAAUCAUAUGUUUGUUUUAAAUAUGAAAUAUUGACUAUUUUCUACUUCUAUUGUGGAAAACUGGGCCAUAAUGACUCGUUUUGUGAGGCAAAAAUGAUGACUGGAGUGGAAAUAGCUGAAAUGGGGAGGGAUUUAUCAAUAAAAGCACAAUCCCAAAUAGCUCUGACUAUGAAUAGUGUCUGGCAACGAGAGGAAGAGGAGGGGGGUUCAGACGGGAUUCAGGAGGCAAACAGGAGAUUUAUGAAUAGACCACAGGAAGAGUUUUGGGAAGGCUGUUGAUCCAGUUCUCAGUAUUAAUUUGGAAGGUGGUUUAUUAUGUGAUGAUGCAAAGCAGGUUAGCUCACUGACAGACCAUGGUCAACAUGCGAUGGAUCAUGACUUGGAGGAUGUAGCCUUAGUAGGAGAAGAAGGUAAAAAAAGAUCUAGAAGGGAGAGCGACGACUUAUCAAAGACUGAGGAGUUAAAUUCUCCGGCAAGAAAUAGGAGAUUAAUGGAUCUUAAUCAUUUGUCAUCGGCGGUGCCAAGAGGCAAGCCGACCGGGCAUUAUGAAAAUAAUAAGUUGGAAUGUCCGUGGAUUGGGGAGUCCACGGACAGUUAGAAGACUUCGGCACUCGCUGACGACUUGUGAUCCCCACAUAGUCUUCUUUAUGGAGACUAAACUUUGCGGAAAACAGAUGGAAAGAGUUCGACGGAGAUGUGGUUUUGUGAAUAGAAUUGAGGUGGACGCAGAGGGAACUAGAAGAGGGAUAUGUUUGGCAUGGAAGAAUGAUGUUAAUAUUUCUUUAAAAAUUUUCUUUAAAAGGCAUAUUGACGCGAUAGUCCAUGACGAUGAGAGGGAAGUUAUGUGGCGUUUUACAGGUUUCUAUGGUACCCUGUACGCACAAGAUAAAGAAGAUUCAUGGGCUGUUCUGAAAAAUCUCUCUAAUGGAGAUAAUAUACCAUAGUUAGUAUGUAGAGAUUUCAAUGAAGUCAUGAAUGGAAAUGUUUCGGAAGGCGCUGGAGUUUUGUCAAUUGAAUGAUGUGGGUUAUUCGGGCAGAUGGUUCACAUGGGAAAGAGGUAAUCUCUCAAAAACGAAUAUAUGAGAACGGUUGGAUAGGGGGUGGCAAAUAAGAAAUGAAUUUCACUAUUUUCAGACGUUAAAGCUCAACAUUUGGUUCAUUCUUUUUCUGAUCAUUGUCCCAUUUUAAUUGAUACUAAAAAGAAAACAAGACGACAAAAUGAGAAUAUAUUCGGAAUUGAAAACUGGUGGUUUUUGGAGGACUUAUUCGUUGCUGAAGCUGAGCAGCAGUGGAAGAUGACACCAGGUAAUUUUUUGCAGAAGACGAAAAUCCUAAUGAAGGGGCUGGAAAAUUGGGCUGGAAAAAUACGAAACAAGAAAAAUAGAAAAAGAAAUUUUUAACAACAAAGCUAUCUAAGCUACUCGAUGCUGAAAGGGAUGACAUUAACAUGGCGGAGAUGAUCGAUACGAAGAUUCAACUAAAUAUGGAGUUUGAGAAGGAGGAAAGAUAUUGGGAGCAAAGGGCUCGAUUGAAUUGGUUAAAAUUAGGUGACAAAAAUACAACUUUUUUCCAUAGCCAAGCAACCCAAAGGCAGAGAAAAAACAAGAUCAGGAGGUUACAAAAUGCACAUGGAAAGGAUACAAGAGAUCCUCAAGAAAUAGAAGAAAUAGCAAGAUCCUACUUCCAGAAUUUAUUUGCUUCAGAAAAUCAAGAGAAUCUCGACUAUUUACUCUUGGGUAUUGGUCGAUGUAUCUAUGAAUAGGAAAAUAAAAAGCUGACUGCGCAAUAUACAUGAGAAGAAAUCGCGAGGCUUUGUUCGAGAUGGCAUCCACUAAGGCACCAGGCGAAGAUGGAUUCCCAGCUUUAUUUUAUCAGAAGUGUUGGCAUUUUAUUGGAGAUGAUGUAGUUUCCUUCUGUCUACAACUCUUGAAUGAAGAUAUGAAGGUUAGUUCAAUUAAUACAACUCAUAUUGUGCUCGUUCCAAAAACUAAUAAUAUGGCUAAUGUGACACAUUUUAGGUCAAUUAGUUUAUGCAAUGUCAUUUAUAAAAUAAUGGCAAAAGCUAUAUAGCGAACAAAUUUAGAGGAGUGAUUGAUAAAUGCAUUGAUAGUGCACAAAGUGCCUUUGUGCCAGGAAGAUUAAUCUCAGAUAAUGUUCUACUUGCUUACGAGAUAUUGCAUUCCCUAAAAUAGAAAAGAGUGGGGAAAAAGGGCUAUAUAGCUGUAAAAUUGGACAUGAGUAAGGCUUAUGAUAGAGUUGAAUAGAAUUUUAUUAAAGAAAUAAUGUGUCAAAUGGGUUUCGCUCAAAGUUGGAUUGAUACUAUUAUGAAAUGCAUGACUACCGUUUCUUACAAGGUUGUGGUAAAUGGAAAUAUCGGGGUGACAUUCAGUUCAUCAAGGGACUUCGACAAGGUGAUCCUUUGAGUCCAUUUCUUUUCUUAAUAUGUGGGGAAGGCCUUUCCAGUCUUAUGAGAAAAGCAACAAAUGAAGGUUUUUUGAAGGGUGUCAAAGUAAGCAGAAGAGGACCACAUGUAUCACAUUUAUUAUUUGUAGAUGAUUGCAUUCUUUUUGGGGAGGCAACAUGUAGAGGGGCUAAUACAAUCAAGGAAAUCUUAAGUGAGUAUAAAAGAGGUUCGGGACAGUGUGUGAGUAUGGACAAAUCAACUAUUUUUCUCAGCAAAAAUACGACGGCAGAAGAAAGAAGUCAGGUGGUAAACUUGCUGGGAAUCCGAAGCUCAAAUGAACCAGAACGUUAUCUAGGUUUGCCGACCAUGGUAGGACGAAAAAAGAAGGCUUCUUUUCAAGCUUUGAAACAUAGACUAAGACGGCGUAUUGAUACCUGGAGCAUUAGAUUUUUAUCGCAGGGCAGGAAAGAAGUUUUCAUCAAAGCUGUAUUACAGGCCAUCCCGACAUAUUCAAUGGCUUGCUUCUUACUCCCAAAAAUUUUAUGCGGAGAAAUAGAAGGAAUUAUCGCGAAUUUUUGGUGGAAAAAGGGUCAAGGUAAAGGGGAAUUCAUUGGUGCUCUUGGAAUAAUCUUUGCAGUUUAAAAGAAAAUGGAGGUUUGGGUUUUCGUAAUCUCAGUCAGUUUAAUAUUGCGUUAUUAGCCAAACAGGGGUGGCGUCUUUUUAAUUAUCCAAAUUCACUUUUAGCCAGAGUCUUUAAAGCAAAGUAUUAUCCACAGUCUGUUUUUUUAAGUGCAGAGUUGGGGAAUUUACCUUCUCUUACCUGGAAGAGUAUCUGGGCAGUAAAGAGACUCCUCUUUCAGGGGCUAAGUUGAAGAGUUGGGAGAGGAAACAAUGUUUUCAUUUGGACAGAUCGGUGGAUUCCAGGGAUUGAACCUAGUACAUGGCAGAACGGAGAUGAAAAUAGGGAGCUAAAAACAGUAUCAGAUUUAAUUGAUGUAACAAAUAAGAAGUGGAAAACGGAGGUCAUUAUUAGUACCUUUCAAUCGGAUAUAGCUAAAAAAAUUUUGGAGAUACCACUUGCAGAAACGGACAGUGAAGACUUGCGCGUUUGGAAAGGUGAACCGACCGGAGAGUUCUCUGUACGGAGCACCUAUAAACUAUUACAAGAAGUUGAUUCAAUUUCUAAUAACUUAUUACAGACCGAUUUUAAAGAAUUCUACAGAAAGUUAUGGGAUUUACAACUUCCAUAAAAAACUCUACUGUUUGUCUGGCGAAUAUCCUGGAACUAUAUUCCUACACUAGCCAACCUACGAUACAAGCGAAUAACCACAAAUGUGAGAUGCCCUCGAUGUGGCUUCGGGGAAGAGGACAACUUUUAUGUAUUCCAGCAAUGCCUUACAAGUACUGAAGUUUAGCAUAAUAUUAACAUGGAUUGGGUUACAUCAUAUUCAGAUCAAAAUACCAGAACAUGGCUUACAUGGGUAUUUGCAAAAGGAACUAAGGAACAGUGUCAGAUGUUUUGCUGCGCUUUAUGGAUCAUAUGGAGCUCACGAAAUCAAAUGGCACAUGAAAAAAAACACGCAUCAGAAAGGGACCUUGCACAGAAAAUAGAAAGCUAUAUAGCAGAACUUGAAGAAGUGGGUAAAGAAAGACGUACCUUGAAGACUGCCAGAAUAUAGAGACAUACGGAGGACACAACACAAUUUGAUGCAGCUUUUGAUGCAAACAGGUCUAGAUCGGAGUCGGGGGUCAUUGUACGAAAUCGGAUAGGAGAGAUAAGAGUCUUAAAAACAACCCUUCAUUCCAAUGUCUCAUCUCUAUUUCUUGCAGAGGCAUUCACUUGUCUACAGGCAAUCAAGCUGGGUAUUUCACUGGGCCUCCGAUCAGUCACAAUAAGGGGAGAUUCGAAGACAAUCAUUAAAAAAUGUCAAUCGGCAGAGAUGGAUAAAUCGAUCAUUGGAGCAAUUAUGAAAGAUAUCAAGAGUCAUAGUUCGCUAUUUCAAGAAAUAGAUUUUCAGUUUAUUCAAAAAUCAAAGAACUUCCAAGCCCACAAAAUAGCGAAGGAAGCAUUAGCAAAUGGGGAAGAGAGGUACCUGGUUAGAGAUGAGUCGAUCUACAACGAAGGAGCCAUGGAAGAGGAAUGGUCAAGAAACCCGGAUUGAAGAAAAUUUCAAAAAGAAAGAGAAUUGAAAAUGGUAACAGGAUUGAAGAAAGAACGUUUUGGAAACUGUUAUCUGCCA
rnacentral:lncRNA from 1 species